CCCAACUCUAAUCCAGCUCUUUCACCCUGGCUACCUUGGCAGAGCUCCUCCCAUUCCCUUCGCCCUUCGCCCUUUGCCUUCCAAACCACUCGUCACAAUCUUCUUCAUCUUCUUAAUCUUCAUCUUAGUCUUCAUACUCUUCUUCUCUUUCUCGUUCUUCUUCUGUUCUUUCUGGAUCUCUUUGUUCACCUUCGAAUUCCACAAAUUUUGAGCUCCACCAAACAUGGGCGACGGCAAGGUCAAUCUCCCCGACGAUCUCUUCUCCUCCAAGCCCUCCGAUUCCAAAGUACGAUUAUCUCGCACUUUGAAGUUAUCAAUAUCAAGCACUUCUGUUAUUGGUUGCAAAUAUUGUUGUGGAUGACUGUGCCAUCUGCAGGAACCACAUCAUGGAUCUCUGUAUCGAGUGCCAAGCUAAUCAAGCUAGUGCAACUAGCGAGGAAUGCACUGUGGCUUGGGAGUUUAUGGAAGCUGUAGAAGCAAAAUCAUCUUCUUCAUCUGGGUAUGGUUCUAUGGUAAGCCUCCAUGGGUAUUUAGAGGAAGUGCCUUGUAUUAACUCCAUCUUGUGAAGGCAGAGAAAGCUAGAAGAUACAUUCCAAGAGAAUUCAAAUUGGCUGAAGCUUUUGGAAACACUUUGGGUGGCUUCUUUCUAGCCAGCUAUAAGGACAGUUCCUCCAGUGUCUUUGACGAGACAAUGGAAGCUAGUUUGGAGGGCCAAAGCUAUCUAGAUGUUCCUGCAACACAAAUGGUGCAUGAGCAACUUUGGGUAGAUAAAUAUGCACCAAAGUCAUUUACUGAGCUUCUUAGUGAUGAACAAACAAAUCGUGAGGUACUCUUAUGAUUGAAACAAUGGGAUCUGUUGUUUUUGGAUCUGAAAUUUGAAGUACAUCGAAUGAUGUUUUGUUUGCUUUGAAGCGACAUUCUUCUGUUGCCCAAACUCAGCGACCUUUCAAUUCAAAGUUUUCAAGGACAAAUAGAGGAGCCAAAUGGAGUAGUGGGAAGUAUAAAAAUUCAAGAAGUAUGGAUGAAAGUAGUAACUCACAGGGCAUUGAAGAUAUACUGAAUACAAGGACAACUAAUGUUGGUCCACCAGAAUAGAAGCUCCACCAAACAUUGCUGGGAAUCAUUCUGAGAGAGGGAUAUUGAGCUCGGUUAUGUACUUGUUGGGCACAAGGUUGUAAGAAAAGGAUAAAAGACAGAAAGAGGGACCGUGACGUGAUCUUGAGACCCCAGACUUGCUAUUAAUUUUGCAUUCCUUUUGUAAUUAUACAUGCGUUUUGCUUAGUUAGUGAAUUUCGGCUGGAUAGGAGGUUGAAGGAUUUUUUGUUACUGAAAAAACCUGGAAAGUUUUGUAUGAGGAUUAAUGUAUAAAACAAUUAUACAAAAAAUUGUCACCAAUUACUGUU